GCUGGAUAAGAGGUUUGGCUUUGUCCUCCUUUCGGCCCAGCAGCCAAACACACAGGGCCACCACAGUUACUAUCAGGAGGAGGAACACAGCAGCCAAAGAAGUCAUCAAAAUACCACCAGAAAGCCAAUGAUAUGGAAUUUCACCUAAUAAAUGAGGCAGGAAAACUAAAUCAAGAGAAACUAUCGCUUGGAGACUAAGAGCCAUAACAAUUCAGGAAGCAAGCAUUUCUCUACCUCGUGCGCAUCGCCAGGAUGUUCUACCUCUCAAGCCUCAAAGCAAGGACAGCUGACAAUGGACUGAAGCUUCAGAAGCAGGGCCAAAAUAAACCAGUUCUCCACACUGA